GGGGCAGCAUGGGGUAGCAAUACUCUGAUGGCGACCGGCAAACGGGUGAGGAACAUGUACGCAACCUUCCUUUAACUGGAGAAUAGCCCCUCGAAAGAGGGAUUAAUACUCCGUAACAUAUUUUUAAGACAUCUUAUUAAUAUUAUAGCUCCGGCGGUUAAAGAUGGGCGUGCACCUGAUUAGAUAGUUGGCGGGGUAACGGCCCACCAAGUCUGCGAUCAGUAACUGGUGUGAGAGCACGACCAGUCACACGGGCACUGAGACACGGGUCCGACUCCUACGGGAGGCAGCAGUAAGGAAUAUUGGUCAAUGGACGCAAGUCUGAACCAGCCAUGCCGCGUGGAGGAUUAAGGCCCUCUGGGUUGUAAACUCCUUUUAUCUGGGAAGAAAUGUACUUUUUCUUGAGUACUUGACGGUACCAGAGGAAUAAGCACCGGCUAACUCCGUGCCAGCAGCCGCGGUAAUACGGAGGGUGCAAGCGUUAUCCGGAUUCACUGGGUUUAAAGGGUGCGUAGGUGGGCAGGUAAGUCAGUGGUGAAAUCUCCGGGCUUAACCCGGAAACUGCCGUUGAUACUAUUUGUCUUGAAUAUUGUGGAGGUAAGCGGAAUAUGUCAUGUAGCGGUGAAAUGCUUAGAUAUGACAUAGAACACCAAUUGCGAAGGCAGCUUACUACACAAUGAUUGACGC
rnacentral:rRNA from 1 species